rnacentral:lncRNA from 1 species
CACAGACCUUGAAGAUGACACUCCACAUACACCCCUACAAUCACAUCAGUUCAAACAGACGACUGCUUUCCUGUAGGGACAGUGUAGGGAAAGCGUCUGUCUUAACAGGUGAGUCUCACGUGUGGAGAUGUGGUGGACUAGCCACUGCGGGUUACCCGCGGAGUGAAGUGUUCGAUGCUUGUUAAGACAGAUAGGUUGCAGGCAACUAGGGACAUAUUAGGGACAGUAGCAGUUGUUAUGGUAAAUAGCCAUUUUAGGGGGGACUGUUGUGGAAAUAAGGUCUGCACAUAUUUCCUAGUUAGUGAAAAUGUCUAUUUACUCAUUUCACGAUAUAUCACAUAUAAAGCUGAGCACACAUGUUUUAAUCAAAAUGGCUGCUAGAAGCUUCUAAACC